AUUCAAUGUCUGGAGCACACGUCGGCCACUCCACCUCGGGCGCUCUGAAGCCGGCCGCAUGGAGACUGGGGGACGGUGGUAGGAUGGUCCUAGACCCCUUCUCUCCAUUUCUGCAACCUUGGUGAAUUGAAAAGGGAUCAAUAUCCUUGGUCAGCUAUACCAUACCAGAUGGCCAAGGGACAGAGGAAAAAUGGCAGGGCAAACCCCCUUGGAUUUGCCCACGUGGAGUUUGGAUAUUUACCUGACUUCUUUGUCAAGUCUUGGGCCUGAUGCAGGUUACAGAAGUAUGGCCACUGGUUCAUGUAUUCAACAGUUCAGGGGAGCUGUCACCACCGAAGGAAGGAGGAUAGUACUGACAGGGCUGAUGGUAAUGAUGACAUCUAAUGUACAUGGAGCAGCUCCAUCUGCCAGACACUACGAUGGACUUGUUUGAUGAAUGUGAACUCAGUGCUGGUUAAGGCUGGAAACAGAAGGUAUACGUACAAAGGUCUGUUCCAACUUGUGGCAAUAUUGCAAGUCCCACCAUCCCAUGGCUCUCCUCUGUACAGACUGUAAAAUACAAGCAGAAAACGCUAAUUAACUGAUCAUUAGCAGGAAGGUGAAAGAUCAAACUUAGAUUUACAUGUUGCCUUCUUGUUUGAAGAACUGCGUCAGCAUCCACUAAUUAAUCCAUCAGCAAAGAAUGCUGCCUGCACUUCUCCAUCAUUAGCCAGUCUCCGAAAGAAGCAAGAGGACCCUGAAUGGGUGCCAGAUGGCUUCCGAUGCAUCUCUGUCAUUCAGUUCUCCUCCACCAGACCUAUCUAGACCACCUUUGUGGAGGGUGGUCUGCCUGUUUCUGGACGCCUAUGUCUCUCUUGGUUCUAGCAUUUAAAAGCCCAAGAGUGUCAGUUACCCCUGAGUGCUGAACAAGCCGGUAAAGUUUAUGAAGUAGUGACACUUGGAGGAAGACUCCUGAGUUUGAGAAGAUAUGGACCUUCCAGAGCUGACUACUUUCUGUGUUCUUGCUGAAGUACUGAAUAGUGUUUUUCUAAAAUUGAAAAAAAAAAAAAAAAGAAAAGAAAAGAAAAGAAAAAAAGAAAAAUGGCAAAAGCGAAAGUGUUAGGUGUGGGAGACAAAAGGAAGUUGUCAGUCAUGGCUGCUCCUGUAGUGUAGUGAUGCACUGUGUAGUGUAGCGUAUGCACUGGUGGUGCGGCAGGACGAAUCCCAGUAGUGCUCAGAGAUAGCCGCUGUUGGUAGUAUAUUGGGAAGGGAGAGACUUGAAGGUUUGAGCCUAUCGCUGUCAUUACUGGGAAGUUUGUUCUUAGUAGUGGCUUCCAAAGGGUAUCUAGCAAAUGUAGACGGAAUGGUGGCAGGUGACUGCCCACAGCCCAGGAGCCUUGUGAGUCCUAUUGGCUAAAAAUAAUUAAAUAAAUACAAAGCCAUUUCCCCCUUCUUUCUAAGUCGCCAUCAGUGAUACCUUCUAGUUGACAGAGGGUAGGGAGUGUGGCGGUGUCCCACGAAGUGGGAGGUGUGUCAGUUGCUGCUCCAUCUCUGGCCAAAUGCAUCUCUUUCUUCUCCAUUUUCUCCUCCAUGGAGAAGGAAGCUGUGUUUUUUUCUCCAUAACUCAGGGAUACUUUCUUUCCAAACAGGAAAGCAUAGUCCCUACUUUUCAGAAGGGACACAAAAGAGCAUCAUUUGGUUAUUGGAAAGAAAUGACUUUCUAUCACUGAAUAAAAACAUUACUAG
ensembl:processed_transcript BC006965 cDNA sequence BC006965